GGGGGCCCCCAAGCCGUGGAACAUGUUGUUCCAUUCCACCCCACCCCAAAAACCUUUCCUGGGCCCCAAAUUGUAUGGGCCCGGGGGGAAACCUUCCUUUUCCCCAAAACCCCCUACAUAGGUGCUGCAUGGCUGUCGUCAGCUCGUGUCGUGAGAUGUUGGGUUAAGUCCCGCAACGAGCGCAACCCUUAUUGUCAGUUGCCAUCAUUCAGUUGGGCACUCUGGCGAAACCGCCUCGGAUAACGGGGAAGAAGGGUGGGAGAUGACCUCAAGUCCUCAUGGCCUUUAUGUCCAGGGCUACACACGUGCUACAAUGGUCGGUACAAACCGUCCCAAACCCGUGAGGGGGAGCUAAUCGGAAAAAGCCGACCUCAUUUCGGAUUGGAGUCUGCAACUCCACUCCAUGAAGCUGGAAUCGCUAGUAAUCGCGGAUCAGAACGCCGCGGUGAAUACGUUCCCGGGCCUUGUACACACC
rnacentral:rRNA from 1 species